rnacentral:lncRNA from 1 species
GGGGGAUGAUAGGGGUUGUAGUGGCCCUCUGGGGGGAUGAUAGGGGUUGGAGUGGCCCUCUGGGGGGGAUGAUAGGGGUUGGAGUGGCCCUCUGGGUGGAUGAUAGGGGUUGGAGUGGCCCUCUGGGUGGAUGAUAGGGGUUGGAGUGGCCCUCUGGGUGGAUGAUAGGGGUUGGAGUGGCCCUCUGGGUGGAUGAUAGGGGUUGGAGUGGCCCUCUGGGUGGAUGAUAGGGGUUGUAGUGGCCCUCUGGGGGGAUGAUAGGGGUUGUAGUGGCCCUCUGGGUGGAUGAUAGGGGUUGUAGUGGCCCUCUGGG